UCAUCACUGAGACAACGAUGGCAUCAUCAUGGAGGGUCUGUAUUCUCUAAACAUCAUCUUCCGAAAAAGAUAUUACAUUAUCAUAUCAUCAUUUCUUUAUCAAUUUUUCUUCGAAAGUUGCCCUCCAAUCCUUCGAUCGUUCAAAAAUUAUAUUGAUCACUCCCACCAUUGGCCAAUUGUUGAUCAUCUCCUCAGCUUGUGGCUGAGACUGUUGGUCGGUGGAAGGUUGAGUCAGGUGAUCUCAUCAGAAUCUCCCAAGAUAGCCACAUC
rnacentral:lncRNA from 1 species